UGUGUUGUCAAACACGGAAGAAAGUAAAAUAUGGGUUUUUUUAUUGCAAAACUCAAUAGUGCGUAUGUUGUUUUUUUAUAAAUGUAGAUUAAAAUAGUAUAACUGAUAAAUGAUUCGUUUCCUUUACAUAAGUAUAUGCAUAUACAUCACAGAACGCGUAAAUACUGAUUCUCUCGUUUACACUUAAGUUACACAGAGACUAAAAUUAAAAGCCAAGUUGAAUACAGAAUUAACUUUAGUAUUCGCACAAAUAAAUUAAAUUUAUCAUUAGCCUUGGAGUACUAAGAUCAUUUAAACGUUACAGUAUCUUUUUCUUUCCUCAUAACUGGCAGUGACAACAUUAUUUGUUGGCAGGAAAUUCAAGAUGCUGUGCAUUUAUUGACAGAUUCAUUAUUGUGUGUUAUAUGACAAUGACAUUUAUUAUUAACUAAAAUGCAUUUGAAUGGUACUGGUAGUUUAUUAAUGUAAGCCCAAAACUCAAAGUUAACCCUUUAAGCGCUGGAACUGAAUUUUGAAGGCCUUUGCAAACAGUUUGGUUCCAUAUGAGACGCCACAGAACGUGGCGUCUCAUCAGGAUCCAAAUUGUUUGGUAUUCUGAUAGUAUUCUUUGAAAAAAAUCAAAGAAAUGGUUAAUUUUAGAAAUUCAGCGGAUGACAUUUAGCAGAUGACAAAUUUCCGAGCAUGCAAACGGUUAAUGUAUUUAUAUCAGUUUCUUCUGCACAGCUAUUUUAUAAAUAAAUUGAAUAACCAAAAUAUUUUUGAAAAUAGUAACACAGUUUAGUAAUUCAUGGCAUCAAAUGCAUGUAGCUGGCGCCAGACAACUCGCCCCAAUACCAACUUGCCCCAAAACAAACUCGCAUCAAACAUAUGGUCAAUCGAUCCAACCAAGAGACAACUCGCCCCAAUUUAUUUUCGUGCAUCUUAUUGUUUCUUGAUUUAAAGUAUUUUAUCUUUAUAUUCUUUGUUAAUUUAUCAAAUCACGUAUAUAUUUUGAUAAAUGUGUAUUUCAACAGUACAUUGUAUUUUGAAUAAAUCAAAUACAGGUCAUCUGAAAUGCAUGUAUCAUUAUAUUUGUAAAAGCCAAGAAUAUUCUGGAUAUUCCUCUUUUUUCAAUUGUUUUGAAUAUCCUCAAGAUUUGAUUUCCUGAAUGUCGAAGAAAACUUAUUAGAUAAUAAUACCACAUAUUCACAACUCAGUUUUUUGAAUAGAGACCAUAAAUUGUUUUAAAAAGUGGUUUAAAUUGUGUAUUUACUUUUUCAAUAGGAUACAACCAUAAUUAAACCAAGAAGUUUAUGAAGAAGGGAUCACUGGAUUUUGUCACUUUGGUAUAAGAAACAGAAAAGGAUAUCAUAGACCUACUUACUUAUACACAAGCAUAGGAGCUGUUGAAGGAAAUUGCUGCCAGACAGUCAGCAGUUAUCACUGACAGCCUGUCCUGGCCCAGCUUGGACCAUCCUCAAGCUAACCAUGAUGGUGUGUUUGCAAGAAUUGUCCAUUUGGUAGACCAUGAUGAAGACCAGCUUUGUUGUGGCAUGGCCUGACAAUACUGUACAAGCCAGAGACCA